UCCACUCCAGUAGUAUCCUCUGUUUUC
rnacentral:piRNA from 1 species